UACGUAGGGUGCGAGCGUUAAUCGGAAUUACUGGGCGUAAAGCGUGCGCAGGCGGUUCGUUGUGUCGGUGGUGAAAUCCCCGGGCUUAACCUGGGAAUGGCCAUGGAAACUGGCGAACUGGAGUGCGGCAGAGGGGGGUAGAAUUUCCUGUGUAGCGGUGAAAUGCGUAGAUAUAGGAAGGAAUACCAGUGGCGAAGGCGGCCUCCUGGAUCGAUACUGACGCUGAGGCGCGAAAGCGUGGGGAGCAAACAGG
rnacentral:rRNA from 1 species